rnacentral:rRNA from 1 species
UCUCCGUUGGUGAACCAGCGGAGGGAUCAUUACCGAGUUUACAACUCCCAAACCCAAUGUGAACGUUACCAAACUGUUGCCUCGGCGGGAUCUCUGCCCCGGGUGCGUCGCAGCCCCGGACCAAGGCGCCCGCCGGAGGACCAACCAAAACUCUUUUUGUAUACCCCCUCGCGGGUUUUUUAUAAUCUGAGCCUUCUCGGCGCCUCUCGUAGGCGUUUCGAAAAUGAAUCAAAACUUUCAACAACGGAUCUCUUGGUUCUGGCAUCGAUGAAGAACGCAGCGAAAUGCGAUAAGUAAUGUGAAUUGCAGAAUUCAGUGAAUCAUCGAAUCUUUGAACGCACAUUGCGCCCGCCAGUAUUCUGGCGGCAUGCCUGUCCGAGCGUCAUUUCAACCCUCGAACCCCUCCGGGGGGUCGGCGUUGGGGAUCGGCCCUGCCUCUUGGCGGUGGCCGUCUCCGAAAUACAGUGGCGGUCUCGCCGCAGCCUCUCCUGCGCAGUAGUUUGCACACUCGCAUCGGGAGCGCGGCGCGUCCACAGCCGUUAAACACCCAACUUCUGAAAUGUUGACCUCGGAUCAGGUAGGAAUACCCGCUGAACUUAA